GAGGGGAACGAUUACAACAGUCUGUGUGAGGGACUGAUUCUUUAGUUUAUUGCAUAGGACAAUAAACUAAGUGGGAACGUCACUGUAAUGCUAAUAAUGCUACUUCAAGCCAUCUCACAGUACUGAAAACAUUUCUUAUAGAGAGGUUAUGAAUAUAACGCAGAAAGGUCAGCCACGAUCCCCAAAAGUGGAGACACCACCACUAUAAUGAACAGUGUUUACACGUUUAAGGACAAAAUGAAGUGCUAUAAUAUUAAAUUAACCCAC
rnacentral:lncRNA from 1 species